UAAAUUUACUCGGAUUACUCACAUCAAACUGGUGAAACAACGUCAUCGCCGCCUCCACGGAGACCGUGAUGAGAUAACCGAUACUCCGAGCGACGCUUCCAGCCGGUUGCGCUGGUGGAACCGCCGCACGGACGAUCGUCGGAAUGAUUGGUGCGAUAUUGUAAAACUUGUGACAAAAAAAAAAAAAAAAAACCGGCCAGACACGAAGAUGUUCUGAUCUAGAAUACGUAAUAUUUCCGGAAAUAACUCUUAUUUUCCGGAGCUGCAUUUUACGUUUGACACGUGUACUCAUCUUCGUUCCGUUUUUUUUGUUUCGGUAAAGGAACGUUUGAACCAUCAAGCUGUUUGGCCCCUCACUGAAAAUGCAAGACCAUUUCUGGAGCAUCCACGAAGCUUUUCAUUAUGUGUGCGGUGUCGGUGAUUUGUAUAAAUGACUUGUACAUUUUCUUCGAAGACAAAUUACUACUACAAUCUUCAUUAAAAUAGAGAUAUUGUCUUGACUAUAUUUGGUGUUUUUCACCCCGAAAUCCCGAAGAAUCCUCCCGAAAAUUAGCGAAGAUUUUGGAAAAUGAAGCUCGCACAGCCGCCAUUCAGUUUUUCAUGAAAAAAGUUCACGAAAAAUUCCGAAUAAUCUUGAAACAGUCAAUUGAAAACGUGCGAUUCGGUAUUCGAUCAUUGGCAGCGUCUCGUACGUAGAUUCUCCUUCUCCGAGGCAUCGGCAGUACGGCCGCAACAGCCGAGGCAACGUCGUCAUCGGGAGCGACAUCGAUGGUAGUGCGUACAUCCUUUAAGAAGAGAUAGAAGAAGCUAGCGAGGAGAAAGAAACAUAUUUGGGUGAGGAUUAGCAACGGAAUAGUACGCGGUUACUACAGCGCCAUAUUUUUGGUUGACAAUGAGUCCAGGGGUCAGUUUUGUUCGAGCAGUGACUCGGGAAGUAGUGUUUCGUUUGAUCUACAUAUUUUAAAAAAGUGCUCGACAAUCGGUAGUUAGUGAAAGACCUAUAUCAGUGGAAAUUUUGUGAAUUCCGUGAUUCGGCGAUUUUUCCACAAGCACUGAUUCAUACAUGACAGACGUUGAAGUUGCCUAGUUCUUCGCGAUACUGUUCAACUUUCAACUACCAUCCCUACGUUGUGCUGAGAAAUUCAUAUAAGGCUUUCAAUCAAUCAUCACGGUGCCUAGUGCAUCGCAGUACUCAUUCAACUCCCAACCACGAAGGGCAGUAGUCACAUGGCAUCGCACAAUUCGUUUUCAGGUACCCGGAGAUGCUGUCGCCGCAGUUAUGACCCCCUGGACUUCCCCUGU